rnacentral:lncRNA from 1 species
GCUAAAAUGUGGGGCUCAAAACAGGUGGGGCUCUGCCCUCAGUGACUGGUCCCCACUUGGAGGAUCAUAAUGUAUUGUAUGAGCAAGGCCUUAUUUCUAUUACAGCUUAUUGGAUGACUCCAUUCACCCAGCUCAGUGUAACAUCCAUAGGUUUAGGUUACGACAUGGUUCCUAACAUGACUCCAUUCACCCAGCUCAGUGUAACAUCCAUAGGUUUAGGUGACGACAUGGUUCCUAACAUGACUCCAUUCACCCAGCUCAGUGUAACAUCCAUAGGUUUAGGUUACGACAUGGUUCCUAACAUGACUCCAUUCACCCAGCUCAGUGUAACAUCCAUAGGUUUAGGUUACGACAUGGUUCCUAACAUGACUCCAUUCACCCAGCUCAGUGUAACAUCCAUAGGUUUAGGUUACGACAUGGUUCCUAACAUGACUCCAUUCACCCAGCUCAGUGUAACAUCCAUAGGUUUAGGUUACGACAUGGUUCCUAACAUGACUCCAUUCACCCAGCUCAGUGUAACAUCCAUAGGUUUAGGUGACGACAUGGUUCCUAACAUGACUCCAUUCACCCAGCUCAGUGUAACAUCCAUAGGUUUAGGUUACGACAUGGUUCCUAACAUGACUCCAUUCACCCAGCUCAGUGUAACAUCCAUAGGUUUAGGUUACGACAUGGUUCCUAACAUGACUCCAUUCACCCAGCUCAGUGUAACAUCCAUAGGUUUAGGUUACGACAUGGUUCCUAACAUGACUCCAUUCACCCAGCUCAGUGUAACAUCCAUAGGUUUAGGUUACGACAUGGUUCCUAACAUGACUCCAUUCACCCAGCUCAGUGUAACAUCCAUAGGUUUAGGUGACGACAUGGUUCCUAACAUGACUCCAUUCACCCAGCUCAGUGUAACAUCCAUAGGUUUAGGUUACGACAUGGUUCCUAACAUGAGUCCAUUCACCCAGCUCAGUGUAACAUCCAUAGGUUUAGGUGACGACAUGGUUCCUAACAUGAGUCCAUUCACCCAGCUCAGUGUAACAUCCAUAGGUUUAGGUUACGACAUGGUUCCUAACAUGACUCCAUUCACCCAGCUCAGUGUAACAUCCAUAGGUUUAGGUUACGACAUGGUUCCUAACAUGACUCCAUUCACCCAGCUCAGUGUAACAUCCAUAGGUUUAGGUUACGACAUGGUUCCUAACAUGACUCCAUUCACCCAGCUCAGUGUAACAUCCAUAGGUUUAGGUUACGACAUGGUUCCUAACAUGACUCCAUUCACCCAGCUCAGUGUAACAUCCAUAGGUUUAGGUUACGACAUGGUUCCUAACAUGAGUCCAUUCACCCAGCUCAGUGUAACAUCCAUAGGUUUAGGUUACGACAUGGUUCCUAACAUGUCACAAUAACUCCUCCCUGGCAUUUUCAUUCGUUGUCAU